UUCAACUUGUUGGUAUUCUUUUGAAAGGUAUAAAUUUGUGUUCAGUCGCGUUCAUUACACUUGAAAUACUUCAAAAGUGAUUUUCGGCUUGUUUAUACUAAUUUACUGAAUUUCCUUGUGUUUUUUUUUCGAAACUCCACAUCCAAAUAAGAAUCAUUUUUUUAAUCAGCAAUCAUCCAGAAUAAAAUGUCGUCAAAAAUUGUUGCAUUCGUUUUGGUGGCACUCAUUGCUAUUGGUUUCGUCAGCAAGAUAGCUGAGGCCAAAGGCGACGUCACUGCUGUCACUGCAUGCGAUGAGGCCUGCACUAAAGGAAUUGUAGAGCUUAAUGAGUGCUGCAAAAAAAAUAAUUAUGAAGAAGAAGGAGGACACUGCUACGGACCUUAUGGUAGUGCAUUUUGCAAGCGAACUGGUGGAUACACCGAUCAAGAGGGUGAUAAUGUUCAAUGAAUGUAAAUCAUUGAAGAAAGAAAUUGUUUAAUUUCUUCAGUGAAUCAGUUGUCAUACUUUUAUAUUACUGCGGUUAUCCGUAACGUACUGUGUGUCCUAACAUCGAUUAAUAAAUAAAUAAUUUUUAGCAAU